rnacentral:rRNA from 1 species
UGGGUCAUUUUAGUUUUAAUAAAAUUUGAGUACAGAAAUGGGAAAUCAGUGAGUGUUUUCUUUGAAGGUUAAUUUGUUAUAAGUAACUAAUUGUAGUGUACCUUUUGUAUCAGGGUGGAAGGAAAGCCUUUUUAUAAUUUUAUCCCGAAAGGACAAGAUCUUUGAAGAUUUAAGUAAAUUAGUGUUAAAUUAUUAUUUUGAAGUUCUUUAAAGAAGUGAUAAAUUAAACGGUUGUUCUUAUAUCUGGUUAAGUAGGAAAUAUUAAAAGAAAUGCUUUUAUUUACUUAAGAGCUUUUAAUUUUUCAGGGUUAAGCUUGAAAAAUUUAAUUGACUUAUUUUAAUUAAAUUGGAAGUUAGUUUUUUUAUAAAAAUUUUUUAAUGUCUUUUUAUUGUUCUGCUUUUUAAUUUGAAAUUUGAAAAAUUUAUUAAUUAUCUUUCGAUAAGUAGUUAUUAUAAUUAUUUUAAGGAACUCGGCAAAUUAGUUAUUCGCUUGUUUAUUAAAAACAUCGCCUUAUGAGUUUUAAUUUAAGGUCGGGCCUGCUCAGUGCAUUUUAAGUAAAUUGCUGCAGUAUUAUGACUGUACUAAGGUAGCAUAAUCAUUAGUUUUUUAAUUGAAAGCUGGAAUGAAUGGCUUGACGAAAUAACAGCUGUCUCAAAAUUAUUUUAGUUAAUUUAAACUUUUGGUAAAAAUGCCUAUUUAAUUGAGAGGGACGAGAAGACCCUAAGAUCUUUAUAAACUAAUUACUGUUAGUAGUAAAAUUGUAUAUUUUUCUGGGGCGGAAGUAUAAUUUAAACUUUUACUUAAAUUUAAGAUUUAUUCUAAUUAAAAUCCCUUAAAGAGGAGAGUCAAGUUACCUUAGGGAUAACAGUGCAAUCUUCAAAUUUAGUCCUAAUAAAUUUUAGAGUUUGCAACCUCGAUGUUGAAUUAAGUUUACUUCUAGGAGCAAUAUAUUAGGGAGUUAGUCUGUUCGACUAUUAAAAACUUACAUGAUUUGAGUUUAGACCGACGUGAGUCAGGUCAGAUUCUAUCUUCUAUAUUUGCUUUUUAUUGUACGAAAGGACCUAAAAAGCCCACUUUUGUUUUUG